rnacentral:sRNA from 1 species
UUCCCGUGAAGGCAACCUAAGUGCGCCACGUCCUGUGGCAACGGUUGCAUGACCUACAUCCUGUAGG